rnacentral:rRNA from 1 species
GACCGUGGCGGCGGCUUACCAUGCAAGUCGAGCGGAGAUGAGGUGCUUGCACCUUAUCUUAGCGGCGGACGGGAGAGUAAUGCUUAGGAAUCUGCCAUUUAGUGGGGGACAACAUUCCGAAUGGAAUGCUAAUACCGCAUACGUCCUACGGGAGAAAGCAGGGGAUCUUCGGACCUUGCGCUAAAUGAUGAGCCUAAGUCGGAUUAGCUAGUUGGUGGGGUAAAGGCCUACCAAGGCGACGAUCUGUAGCGGGUCUGAGAGGAUGAUCUGCCACACUGGGACUGAGACACGGCCCAGACUCCUACGGGAGGCAGCAGUGGGGAAUAUUGGACAAUGGGCGGAAGCCUGAUCCAGCCAUGCCGCGUGUGUGAAGAAGGCCUAUUGGUUGUAAAGCACUUUAAGCGAGGAGGAGGCUACUAGUACUAAUACUACUGGAUAGUGGACGUUACUCGCAGAAUAAGCACCGGCUAACUCUGUGCCAGCAGCCGCGGUAAUACAGAGGGUGCGAGCGUUAAUCGGAUUUACUGGGCGUAAAGCGUGCGUAGGCGGCUUUUUAAGUCGGAUGUGAAAUCCCCGAGCUUAACUUGGGAAUUGCAUUCGAUACUGGGAAGCUAGAGUAUGGGAGAGGAUGGUAGAAUUCCAGGUGUAGCGGUGAAAUGCGUAGAGAUCUGGAGGAAUACCGAUGGCGAAGGCAGCCAUCUGGCCUAAUACUGACGCUGAGGUACGAAAGCAUGGGGAGCAAACAGGAUUAGAUACCCUGGUAGUCCAUGCCGUAAACGAUGUCUACAAGCCGUUGGGGCCUUUGAGGCUUUAGUGGCGCAGCUAACGCGAUAAGUAGACCGCCUGGGGAGUACGGUCGCAAGACUAAAACUCAAAUGAAUUGACGGGGGCCCGCACAAGCGGUGGAGCAUGUGGUUUAAUUCGAUGCAACGCGAAGAACCUUACCUGGCCUUGACAUACUAGAAACUUUCCAGAGAUGGAUUGGUGCCUUCGGGAAUCUUGAUACAGGUGCUGCAUGGCUGUCGUCAGCUCGUGUCGUGAGAUGUUGGGUUAAGUCCCGCAACGAGCGCAACCCUUUUCCUUACUUGCCAGCAUUUCGGAUGGGAACUUUAAGGAUACUGCCAGUGACAAACUGGAGGAAGGCGGGGACGACGUCAAGUCAUCAUGGCCCUUACGGCCAGGGCUACACACGUGCUACAAUGGUCGGUACAAAGGGUUGCUACCUAGCGAUAGGAUGCAAAUCUCAAAAAGCCGAUCGUAGUCCGGAUUGGAGUCUGCAACUCGACUCCAUGAAGUCGGAAUCGCUAGUAAUCGCGGAUCAGAAUGCCGCGGUGAAUACGUUCCCGGGCCUUGUACACACCGCCCGUCACACCAUGGGAGUUUGUUGCACCAGAAGUAGGUAGUCUAAUCGCAAGGAGGACGCUACCACGGGGGGACG